AGUUGCAGAAGAAGAUCUGCUUUUUAAGUGAAACGUACAUGCCACCCCUCCGAGGGCUGCGGCUUCCCCGGGCUUGCUUCUUUGCCGCUCCUCUUUCCGGCUCUCGCGCUCACUCUUUAAUUGGCACUGGCCCCUAAGUUUGCCAGGAGCUCGCUGCCCGCUCGGAGCAGGGUCCCGGCCGGGAGCCGCUGGUGGGGGCGGGGAGUCCGGGAGCCGCAAUCCAGAAGCGUCGUGGGCCAUGUAUAUUUCAUCAAACGGACUUUGGGUGCGUCGCGUCUCACUGCCAUCAGUGCUAUGUGCAGUGACAUUUCUGACUUGAGUGGAGGAAUGCGCGAAGGAAACCCGGGCGAAAUUGGUAUUAGAGGAUCUUCUUGGCGCCAAUGCUAAUUGUCCUGAUUUAUGCCCCUUCUGACUAAGCUCAACGUCUUCAUCUGAAAUAAAAUGAAAGCGGUGCCAAGCGGCAUAGAACCGCCUGGCCGCUGGUUCUGAUCCCCGGGAACCAGAAAAUCGUCCUGCGGCUUGAAAAAAAAAAAAAGAGGAAAAAAAAAAGAAAUAGAAAUAGAAAAAA
rnacentral:lncRNA from 1 species